rnacentral:misc_RNA from 1 species
GAUGAAGAACGCAGCGAAGUGCGAUAAGUAAUGUGAAUUGCAGAAUUCCGUGAAUCAUCGAAUCUUUGAACGCAAAUUGCACUCUCUGGUAUCCCGGGGAGUAUGCCUGUUUGAGGGUCAGUGUUAAUAAAAAUCGGUGCGUUGCACUUUAUUGUGACGUUCUGGAGUUUGAGUUAUCUUAACUUUUAGGUUAAGAGGCUUAAAAUUGACCUUUUUUUUGUGCGUUUUAGACGUACAUAAAUUUUCUUUUAUUUGUCUUUUAAUGCCAAAAUUAUAUUAGAUGCGACCAUAUCGUGUGGUUUCGUGUCUAUAAAUUUUUCAUGAUUUGACCUCAAAUCAGGUAGGAGUACCCGCUGAACUUAAGCAUAUCAAUAAGCGGAGGA